rnacentral:rRNA from 1 species
UACGAAGGGGGCUAGCGUUGUUCGGAAUCACUGGGCGUAAAGCGCACGUAGGCGGACACUUAAGUCAGAGGUGAAAUCCCAAGGCUCAACCUUGGAACUGCCUUUGAUACUGGGUGUCUUGAGGUCGGAAGAGGUAAGUGGAACUGCGAGUGUAGAGGUGAAAUUCGUAGAUAUUCGCAAGAACACCAGUGGCGAAGGCGGCUUACUGGUCCGAUACUGACGCUGAGGUGCGAAAGCGUGGGGAGCAAACAGG